GAAACGGCUCUCUUUAGAGCCACCUUACAAAAUGAUUUAAUGUCUU
rfam:Schistosoma mansoni strain Puerto Rico chromosome W, complete genome